GGCGGCGUGGCUAGACAUGCAAGUCGAACGGGGUUUUUCGAAGGGCAACCCAAGGGUAAACCUNGUGGCGAACGGGUGCGUCACACGUGAGCAAUCUNCCUCCAAGUGGGGAAUCGCUCGGCGAAAGCCGAAUUAAUACCGCAUGUGGUCCUGCUUCGCAUGAAGUGGGCACUAAAGCCGGGGAUCGCAAGACCUGGCGCUGGGAGAGGAGCUCGCGGCCUAUCAGCUAGUUGGCGGGGUAACGGCCCACCAAGGCUAAGACGGGUAGCUGGUCUGAGAGGAUGACCAGCCACACUGGAACUGAGACACGGUCCAGACACCUACGGGUGGCAGCAGUUUCGAAUCAUUCACAAUGGGCGAAAGCCUGAUGGUGCGACGCCGCGUGGGGGACGAAGGUCUUCGGAUUGUAAACCCCUGUCACCGGGGACAAAAAGCUGCACGUGAACAGUGUGCUGCCUGAUUUAACCCGGAGAGGAAGCAGUGGCUAACUCUGUGCCAGCAGCCGCGGUAAUACAGAGACUGCAAGCGUUGUUCGGAUUUACUGGGCGUAAAGGGUGCGUAGGCGGUUUAUUAAGUCUAUGGUGAAAGUGCGGGGCUCAACCCCGUAUGGCCAUAGAAACUGAUAGACUAGAGUGCAGGAGAGGGCAAUGGAAUUCCAUGUGUAGCGGUAAAAUGCGUAGAUAUAUGGAGGAACACCAGUGGCGAAGGCGGUUGCCUGGCCUGUAACUGACGCUGAAGCACGAAAGCGUGGGGAGCAAAUAGGAUUAGAUACCCUAGUAGUCCACGCCGUAAACGAUGAAUACUAAGUGUUGGAGAAAUUCAGUGCUGCAGUUAACGCAAUAAGUAUUCCGCCUGGGGAGUAUGCACGCAAGUGUGAAACUCAAAGGAAUUGACGGGACCCCGCACAAGCGGUGGAUUAUGUUGUUUAAUUCGACGCAACGCGAAGAACCUUACCAGGCCUUGACAUACUCAGCAAAACCCUAGAGAUAGGGUGGAGGUUAUCUGGGAUACAGGUGGUGCAUGGUUGUCGUCAGCUCGUGUCGUGAGAUGUUGGGUUAAGUCCCGCAACGAGCGCAACCCUUGUCUUUAGUUACCAUCAUUCAGUUGGGGACUCUAGAGAGACUGCCGGUGAUAAACCGGAGGAAGGUGGGGAUGACGUCAAAUCAUCAUGCCCCUUAUGGCCUGGGCUACAAACGUAAUACAAUGGCGUAUACAAAGGGAUGCGAAAGGGUGACCUGGAGCAAAACUCACAAAGUACGUCUCAGUUCAGAUUGGAGUCUGCAACUCGACUCCAUGAAGGCGGAAUCGCUAGUAAUCGCGGAUCAGCAUGCCGCGGUGAAUACGUUCUCGGGGUUUGUACACACCGCCCGUCAAACCAUGAGAGUUGGUAAUACCCGAAGCCGGUGGCCUAACCUCGCAAGAGGAGGAGCCGUCGAAGUAGAUCG
rnacentral:rRNA from 1 species